AUACAGAUUCGGAACUCAGUUGAGAGGCUGGGACUAGAUAAACUUUGGAAUAAUCAGUAUAGAUGAUAUUGAUAACAAUAAUAUGAGUAAGAUCACAUAGGGAGAGAAAGCAGAUGGAGAAGAGAUGAUAAAACUGAGCCCUAGAGCAUUCCAGCAUUUAGAGAUUGAGAACGAGAGAAGCAGCCAACAAAACAAGCUGACAAGGGGCUUUCAGUAAGGCAAGAAAGAAAGCAAAGGGCAGACUUUCGGAAGCAAAGCAAAGUAAAUAUUUCAAGAAGGAAGGAAAUUCUGUUAAAUGACUUUAGAGAUUAAAUAAGAAUGGGCAACCAGUUCUCUUCACCAUCCUCAGCUUAUACUCUUCUGGAGUGUAUCCUGGAUGAUUGGGACUGCUGUGACUCUCAGAAUCUGGAGGAAAAGUGCCUCAUGGCUCCCUGCACAAAGGAGGGAGGCAGGAGCAGAUUUGGCUGCAGAAGAGGAAAAGGCAAUGUGACCACAGAAGCGGAGACUGCAGUCAUCGUGGGUACCUGCCAAGACCACCAGCAGACAGCCACCAGAAGAUGGAAGAGGCAAGGGACAGAUUCUUCCCUGAAACCUCCCGAAGGAUCCAACCCUGAUGACACUUUGAUGUUAGUCCUGUAUAACUCAUUUUGAAUUUAUACUUAAUUGUAAUUGUUCUAGCUUCCAGAACUGUAAAAACAAAACAAACAAACAAACAAACCCAAAAAACAUUUCUAUUGUUUUAAGCCACAGGGUUUGUGGUAAUUUGUUACAACAGCAAUAGAUAAUACAUGCAUAUUUGAAACUUUUUGGAAUUUAAAGCCUAAUAAAUGUCCGUGUACAUUAAUACUGAUUCUGUAAUAUAGGCAAACUAUAGAAAAGUAAAGAUUAACACAGCAAAAGUGGUUCAAAUUGUUCUGAUGCCACCUAACUGGCAAACAUAACUAGCAUCUUUUGUGAUUCAGUGUUCACCUUUUAUAUUGUUGACGGCAUUUCCCAACUGCUAUUAUAUCAUUUCAUUAAUAGUGUUCAUCAUUCUCACCCCAAAUUCUUCUGAAAUAUGUAGCUGAAAUGAUUGACAAUUUUUAUAUAUUAGCUGUUUCUAUGUAACAACAAAGCAAAUGGGCACUGCCAGUUGCGAUUUUUUCUUAAAUGCCCCUUAAGAAUCAAUCUACAUUUUCUCAGGGAACUGAUAUUCUAGAAAUCACUCUAGCCUAAGAUGGUAUGGUGCUAAAAAUGCCUCAAGCAUGGAGACAUUCAAGAUAAAUUUAGAUUCUAUUCACACCACUUCAUUAAGGCAAUGAUAUUCUAGAAUGGUCUGUAAAUAACCAGGUGGCAUCCUAACAAGGAUUCUCCAUAGGAAUGCAAUACCCUGAGGCUAACAGCUUCAGCUAAGCCAUCUUUUUAAGUUAAUCUUGAAAAAUGAAAAAUCAAUUAACAUUUUGCUUCUCAGAUCUCGUGUAAACAUAAAAAAUCUAAUAAUUUUUUCAAAUCAAUAAAUAUGUUCACAUAGGAAUUAUAUAACCAUGCAGUUAUAAAUAUGUUAAAAGUAAUUUUAAAAUCUUCUUGAAAUGUAUGUAAACAGAAAGAGCAACAAUCAUGAGCAACUGGAACAUAUAUUCCAGUUACUGGCCCAAUAUUGAAUCCUGUUAAUAGCUUUUAAAGAUCAUUAUAUGUUUAAAGAUUACUAUAUGAAUGCAUAAAUGCCUUUAUAUUGUCCCUGCAAGCCAUACAAAAGUAUAUCAGAACCCAGAGCUUAGAUUACUCUCUGAACUUUUCUAUUUCCAUUUGAAAUAGAUCUUUUCUAGCCAUGUGUUGCCAUUUUUAUUUUUCAAUAGUUGUACUAAUUUCUAGAUACUUCCUGCUAAGGCAAGAUAUCCUUCCAAUGUUUCCCCAAUACUAUGUCCUCAUCAAAACGAUUUUGUUACAAUCCAUUAUUUUAUUGGACAGUUACUGUGCCAAAAUCAUUCUGAAUAACUUCUAAUCAUAUUAAUUAGAGUGCUUUCAAAAGGAACAAAGCAUUUGGUGAAGUACUGUUUAUUAAGCAUCUAUUUUGUAUAUGGCACUAUAGAGUGCUAGAAAGAAAUGAAAAACACAGUUUUGUCCUCAAGAAGCUUAUCUCCUCAUAAGAGAAGGUACCACAUUUACAGAAAAAGCAAUAAUGACCAGCUAAACAUUAAACAUGUCAUAAAGAAGUGUCAAUUAUGUGCUAUAGGAAUUCAGAGGAGAAAAAAGAUCACCUAAGAUUAGGAAAAUCCAUAAAUAUAACCCUUAAAAAUGAGAAGGAUUUGGACUGGCCUUGAUGGGGAGAAGAGAAUGAACUGGGGGAGAGGAAUGAGGAAUGAAUUGAGGGAGGAGACUAAGUAAAAAAAUAGAUAGUAUAUGAGAUCAGUAAACAGCUGAGUUUGGCUGGAGGAAAAGGUACAGAAUGGGAGAAGCAGCCAGAAGCUUGAGAAGUUAUGUUUCCAACUGACUCCAAAAGGCCUAAAUACCAGGCUAAAAACUUUAACUUUAUUUAUCAAGCAAUAAAGAGUUACACAGGAUGACUACAAAAAAUAAAGUCAAUUGGAAUAAAUAAAGUUUUGGGCUUGUUUGCUUUGUUCUUUUUUGGAAGAAUAGAGGGGAAAAGGGGGAGAAUUCCUUAUUUACUUCAGAUAUCAGAAAUCAGCAAAUUUUUGCAGGAGCUAAAGAAAGGUAGCACACAUUGGCUGGGCCUGGUGGCUCAAAGCUGUAAUCCCAGCACUUUGGGAGGCCGAGAUGUAUGGAUCACCUGAGGUCAGGAGUUCGAGACCAGCCUGGCCAACAUGGCGAAACCUCGUCUCUGCUAAAAUACAAAAAUUAGCCGGGCAUGUUGGUGGGUGCCUGUAAUCCUAGUUACUCAAGAUGCUGAGGCAGGAGAACUGCUUGAGCCUGGGAGGCAGAGAUUACAGUGAGCCAAGACUGUGCCACUGCACUCCAGCCUGGGCGACACAGCGAGACUCCGUCUCCAAAAAAAAAAAAAAAGAAACGAAAAGAAAAGUUAGCACACAUCAAAUGGAAACAGAGAACCUUAGUACAUGUAUGAAAACUAACUGGACACGAUAAGCUAUUCAGUCAUGUCAGAAUACCCAGAAUUCUGAGUAGUUGAAUAAGACCUUUUUUUUUUGAUACAUACUUAGGGUGUACAACUUGAUGAUUUGAUAGACAUAUAUAUAUAUAUAGUUAUAUGGUUAGUGAUAUAGUUAAAUGGUUACUACAGUCAAGUGAUUUAACAUCUAUUGUCUCAGAUAUUUAUCCCCUUUCCACUUUUUUGUGGUAAUUGCAUCUAAAGUCUGCCUUGGCAAAAUUCUAGUUAUAACACAAUAUUACUAUAGUCCUCAUGCUGUAGUCAUUGAAUCUCUGGAUUUAUUCAUCCUACAUAACUACAACUUUGUACCCUUUGAUCUACAUCUCCCCAUUUCCUGCCUACCCUCCACCCCUAACCCUCAUCCCCCGUAACUACCAUUCUACUCUUUGUUUCUAUGUAUCUGACAUCUUUUUAAAGAUUCUCUAUAUAAAUGAGAUUAUGCAGUAUUUUUACUUCUGUGUCUGGCUUAUUUCACUUGACAUAAUGUCUUCCAGGUUCAUUCACGUUGUUGCAAAUAGCAGAUUCUCCUUUUUUAAGACUGAAUAAUAUUGCAUUGUAUAUACACUAUAAUUUUGUUAUUUACUCAUCCAUCAGGAACAUUUAGGCUGUUUCCAUAUGUUGGCUAUUGUGAAUAAUGCUGCAAUGAACAUGAGAGUGCAAAUAUCUCUGUGAGAGGGUGAUUUCAUUCCCUUUGGAUAUAUACCCAAAAGGGAGAUUGCUGAGUCAUGUAGUAGUUCUAUUUUUAUUUUUUUUAGGAACUCCCACACAGUUUUCCAUUAAAAUUGCACCAAUCUACAUUUCUACCAACAGUGUACAAGGGUUCCUUUCCUUUUCUCCACCUCCUUGCCAACACUCAUUACCUUUCUUAUUAAUCAUAGCUAUUCUAACAGGCGUGAGGUGAUAUCUCACUGCAGUUUUGGUUUGCUUUUCUUUGAUUAGUGACAUUGAGUCCAUUUUCAUACACUUGUUCGUCAUUUUUAUGUGCUGUUGGGGGAAAUGUCUACUCAGGUCCUUUGAACAGUUUUUAACUGGAUUAUGUUUGUUUUUUUUUAAUAUUGAGCUGUGUGGGCUCCUUAUAUAUUUUGGAUAUUAACUCCUUAUCAAAUAUAUGGUUCACAAAUAUCAUCUCCCAAUCCACAAGAUGCCAUUUCCUUUUCAUUUUGUGGAUUAUUUUGCUGUGCAGAAAUUUUUUAAUUUCGGUGUAGUCUCACUUAUUUUUGCUUUUAUUGCCUGAGUUUUUGAUGUGAUAUCCAAAAAAUCAUUGCCAAAGCCAACAUCAAGGAGCUUUUCUCCUAUGUUUUCUUUUUUUUUUUGAGACGGAGUUUCACGCUUGUUACCCAGGCUGGAGUGCAAUGGCGCGAUCUCGGCUCACCGCAACCUCCGCCUCCUGGGUUCAGGCAAUUCUCCUGCCUCAGCCUCCUGAGUAGCUGGGAUUACAGGCACGCACCACCGUGCCCAGCUAAUUUUUUGUAUUUUUAGUAGAGACGGAGUUUCACCAUGUUGACCAGGAUGGUCUCGAUCUCUUGACCUCGUGAUCCACCCGCCUCAGCCUCCCAAAGUGCUGGGAUUACAGGCUUCAGCCACCGCGCCCGGCCUCUCCUAUGUUUU